rnacentral:rRNA from 1 species
AGCGAACGUUAGCAGCGGGCCUAACACAUGCAAGUCGAACGGGCUGUAGCAAUACAGUCAGUGGCGCACGGGUGCGUAACGCGUAGAUAAUCUACCUUCCAGUGGGGGAUAACUAGGGGAAACUCUAGCUAAUACCGCGUAAGACCACGGGGCCUGCGGGCCCUGAGGGAAAAGACCGACUCUGCAUAUGCGGUCGCUGGGAGAUGAGUCUGCGUCCCAUCAGCUAGUUGGUGAGGUAAUGGCUCACCAAGGCUAAGACGGGUAGCUGGUCUGAGAGGAUGAUCAGCCACACUGGCACUGGAACACGGGCCAGACUCCUACGGGAGGCAGCAGUGGGGAAUAUUGGGCAAUGGGCGCAAGCCUGACCCAGCCACGCCGCGUGAGCGAUGAAGGCCUUCGGGUUGUAAAGCUCUGUGGGAAGGGGCGAAAAACCGGCAGCUAACAAGUGUCGGGUUGACGGUACCUUCUUAGCAAGCACCGGCUAACUCUGUGCCAGCAGCCGCAGUAACAC